AACUUAGUUAUUGCAUGAUAGGUUUGAUUAAGUUAGUUACAACAGUUUCAUGCACUGCUGGCUUCCACUGGUUUGAUUAUUUACUGUUUCAGGCCAAGAAAAAGUUACAAGCUCGCUCGGAGCGUUCAAUAUCGUUUCUCUAUAGCUACUGCAAAACUUGAAUUAAUGUUAGUGCUAAUAAUAUUUAUUUCAAUCACCGAAUGAAGCCAGCUAACGUUAUGGGACAAGCGUCGCGACCUUAAAUUGCUUGCACAAAACUCUUGAUCAGCACAAAACAUUUAUUUAUUGUUGUUUUUUGUUUAUACCGUUAUGCAGAGAGUGAUGAGGGUGAACACGAGAGAAAAAGAGUGAGUGCGAGCGAGCGAGCAAGGUCUGCUCUGUGUGAGCUGACCGAAUUAUUAUCCAGGAGAAGCUGCCAGAUGCCGUAGACAACAGGAGUCAGAACAUCAUAGUACUUCAAACAGCAGAAUACACCAGGAGUGGGAAAGGUUCUGGAUGCUUAUGUCUGAUGUGGUGACCAUACACCUCCAUUAUAUGACUGGCAGAAUGAUG